rnacentral:lncRNA from 1 species
CGCCUCCCCCCUUUUUUGCUCUUGCUCCCCCCGCCCCACCUCACCCCGCCUUUCUCCUUUUGCAAGAAAAUAAUUUGACAGUCGAUUUGCUGACAGGGGAAGAAUUUGCAUCCUGGAUUAAAAAAAAAAAAGGCCGAGAGGAGCUUGGGAACGGUUGCUAGGGGUGGGUAAUGGUGAAGAAGGAGGGGGUACCGAGGAUCGGCUGAGGGAGGGGGCGAGGGUGGGGAGCCAUGCAAAAGGUAAGGCCAGGUUGCCGCGGCUCGGCCCCGUGUGGGCUGCGGCCGGGGGAGGGGCGAGAGAUGCAUAUGUAUUUCGGGCUCCCCAGCACACCCCCUUCCCUCCCAGCGAUGGCUGAGGCGGUGCAUGCAGACGGGGAGUAAGUUUCCUGAAGGGGCGGGCGGCUGCACGCGCGCAGCCCGGCGCUGCGAAUUUGCACCCGGGAGGGAGAGUGGUGGAUGCGGAGAGUUUAGAGUUGCUGGCGGAGGGCAGGAGGGGAGCCGGGCGGGGAACGGGGGCUGGCGGGCGCUAUAGCUGGGAGUAAGUUUCCAGGAUCGGGAGAGCCUGCACGCUAGCUCGCUACCCCACCGGCCCCCUGUCGCACCCCCCCAAGCGGAGACUGGGCUUCCUGUCUUUUUGCCAUGCACUUGUUGCAGAAGCAGCCAAGACCUGCACCUACAUCCCCACAAGCACAACACUGCUUCCUCAGGUCUCCUUGGGUCCGGAGACCUGGUUAAAUGCAAAUUCAGGUCCUGCUGAUGCUGCGUUUCCAGCCACUUGCAGGUGGGAAGGAAAUGGCACCUGCCCCUCCUCCAGCCUUACGUACCACAUGUCCAGGGUCCAGUGAACCUGUCACCGUUACGAGCCUGAUGCUUUUAACUAGUGUAGUAGGGGCCACACCACUGUCCUUUAAUGUGGUGAAGACGCAGUGCUCUCCCCUCUUCUUUGGUUUGGCUUUCUUGGCGCCCACACACUUUCCAGAGAGGGCUGCAGAAUUUCCCUGGGUGCGUUUGGCUGGGGGAGCAACUGUCUUAGUACAGCGUGGCUGCCCAGCCUGUGCUAAGGUAGCCAAGUGUGUGGGUUCAUCCAGGUGAGCCGAGGGUGAUGGGAGUGAUGAGGAUGAUGGGACAUGAGGAGGCACAAGGCUGCGACUCUCCCUGUGCUGGGGUCCCCUCCGUUCAAGCAGGGUGGUGUUGCCCUGGGCAGUGGGAAGCCUGCUCUCCGACCUUGGUCCUCCGGGGUCUCCAGCCUCAUCACCUACUUUCUCUGGCCAUGUCCACCCUCAACUCUGACACUCACCCCCGGUCUGAGGAAGUAGAAGCUCAGAGCCUUUCCGCCCAGGAUGCUGGGCUCAGACCCAGUUCUGGCUUUGACAUGCUAGCAGAGCCUCUUGUCUUGUUCCUGUGUCCCGUUUCCUUCUCCGAG